GAAUAUUUUGCGAUUCUGAAUAUUUUGUGCUCCAUUGUGCGCUUCAAGUGUGUAAAUAAUUUAACUUUUUUUAUGAGACAUUCCUUACAACUUUUUGUGAGUUGUGAAAAACACGUUUUAGGGCUGAGAGGCAAACAGGAGCUCAGGGGUCUCUCUCUUUCGCUAGAUUCUGUUUAACACGCACGAAAUUUCUUCAGAGUUACCGGUUUGUUGUGCCGCUGUUGCUUUUCUUCUUGCUGUUGAGUCACACAGCCGCCCGCUGCAAAAACAGGUAAGAAGCAUGGAGAGAGUUCAAGCCCGUGAAACAUUGCGUGGGCCGAUCGCUGUCUCCCUAGUACUCCGCCAACGUGUAAUUACAACAAUAAAAAUAAACUGCGGGAAUUAUAUGAAUGCGUACUUAGUACGCCAACAGCAGCAGCGACAAGUGGCCAAGAGGAUGCCGUCUAUGCUGACUACGGCUGUUUGUGUGCGGCCUAUUGGAACGCAAGCCAUAAGGUUUUAUGGCCAGAAUCGGAGCUAACAGAGAGGAAUACUUCUGCGUUUUUGCCUGCUAUUUUGUUAUUCGUCUUUCUUUUUCGGGGUUCGUUUCGUGUUUUCUUUCCUUUAUUUUCGUUCUCUUUUUUUCUGUUUUUUUUUUUUUUUUGUGGGCUUGCAAACACAAAAACGUGUUUCUUUGUUGGCGACGCUCUUGGCUUUGCCGGUUCUGAAAUUUCUUAGCCUAUGUCUGGCUUAAACGUUGAGGAGAGGAGAGAGAGCCGUAAAGACUGAUGAUGGCUCAGAACUUGUUGUUGCCAAGGCCUAUAGGAAAUAUCAGCGGUCCAAGAACUGAAGAGCGGCUGUCGAGCAACGAACUUUUGCCAGCAAUUUUGGGUUCGCUUUGCUCGUUCUUCGCUUUUUGUUAAAUUAUUACGUUUGUGAGCACAAAAUAUUCCUUAUUCUGUUAUGUUCUUGCUGUUUAUUUAUUUUUCUUACGUUUUAGAAAGCGCAAGGUGCGAUAAAGACACUGGGAAACGAAAAUUAAAGUAGUUUUAUAUGUGAGGAUUUUUUAUUUGAUUGACACACGCGAAAAGUGAAAACACCACGAAGCCGGAAGUCGAUUCGAUUUUACUUUUCAAUUAGUGAAUUUUUGAAGCUUCGAUUAAAAUAUUCUCGGGGACUGGGAUCUGGACUGAUGUGAUCUGUUCGAGUCGGGCACUGGAUGCGAACUGCGCGUGUUAUUUUCUUUUUAUCAUUAUCCGCGUGCUGUUUGCGAGGCGUUGUUGCUGCUGUUGCGGCUGUUUUCGAUUUGAACCCGACUUUGAUUUGGAUAUUGAAAUUCGUCAGUGAGUGGAGAGUGUGUGAGAGUGUUCUGGUGCUGGUUGUGGCUCCCGCUGCCGUGCUGUUGCUGCUGCUGAUGGUGCUACCAGCGGUGGUGGAGAGGAUGUUGCUGGCGAUGUCGGAGGUGUGCGGCGGUGGUUGGUUUGGGACGUAGGCAGCGACGGCAACUGCGACUGCGACGCCAACUUUCAAUGAUGGCUGAACGGAACGAAACCGGGGAACAACGUGGGCUACCGACCUGAUGCUACUUCUGCUGUUAUACUAGGUGAUUCGAUUCGAUUCCUAUAGAGAGCCAACGAGCUUAGCGGCGGACAGAGUUGGAACGGGUUAAAGCAAAGACUGUACGAAGACUGAAGUAAGAACGAAUGGCAUUCUAAGGUAAUAUACCUUUUUGUUUCGGAGUCGGACGCCGAUUCCUCUGCCGCAGUUGCAGUCGCUGCCGGGAUUGAAUCUGUUGCUGCUGCGUCGGCAGCGGCAGAACGGCGACUCGUGCUAACCAAAAUAAAGCAACAGUGGGACCAUGAACCGGACUCGAGCUUAUAGAACGAACGCGGCCGAUACGAGCGGCCACGAACCGCCGACGGAAUCGGCCGUCGUAAGCAGCAUUUCUCCUCUUGGCAGCAAAGACUCCGAAAAAAGGAGGUAUAAAAACGAGUCAUCAGUAGCACACCUUUUGGGCCUUCUCCUGUUUAGCGGCUCGCUCUCACUCUCUCCGCCGUUGGUCUGCUACCUGAUGGGUAUAGUUCGUUGUCUCGGUAUAUUUUUCAGGUGCGCAAUUAACAAGUAAUCACUUUCAGCGGGUCGCAACGAGCACGUAUACGUACUAUUAUAAGAGUGUUUAUACUUUAUAUAUUAUAAUCCUACUUGUAUAAGACCUUUGAGGAUCGCAAGUGGAAGUCACAAUGGGGAGGAACUACCCGAAGGACGUCUCCUAGGUACCCCUUAUUUUUAGUUUUUGUUCUUGUAACAGCAAUUGUUGCAGUAACAUUACUGGCACACACACACAAAGGCAGGACUCACGCACACGACCACUUCUACGUGAGACAGCAAAUGCAUGCGCCAUGCGUGUGCGCCACCCAAAAGCCAAAGGUGCAAGCGAAAGGGCCAAAAUGAUUGAGCGAGAGGCAGACAGCUACGAGAGUACCAAAAAAAGGCCAAAACGACGUCGGCAGCGAAAUCAACGAGAAAAUAAUAAUUGUUACACCUGCUUCGGAAAUGUGGCAAAAGAGGGUGGCUCAAAAACACCCCCACAAAACCGAAGCUCGCUCGGCAUUCAGGUGAGCAUUUGCCACCCUACAAAUCGUAGCGGGAAACACCAAAGUUCGGAAAAGCGAAAAGCUCGGCCAAGGAUGACGAAGCGAAGGCGAACCGGAAAGCCGAAAAAAUCUUUCCCGACGCACAACAGCCGACAUCGACUCCGAACGUUGGCAGAGCGCAUGACGCCAAGGUGAAAAUGAUGCGUAGGUAUGCGGGUUUGUAAGUGUGCUUUCGGGAGUUUGAUGGAGGGUGGCAAACCCCCAAAUGAGGGGAAAUCGCCGAAUAGAAUUUGUUGUAAGGGGUAGUGGUAUCCAACAGUAAGCUGCGGGGUUGGUAAAAGCCCUUCUCAGAGCUUUCUGCUAAGAUGGGAAGCAGAUAACAUUAUUCUCCGCUAGUUCGCUCUAAAAAAAAUUAAAAAGCAUUAAGAUUUUAAAUUAAUCAAUUAAAGAUAGCGAUAAAAGAUCUAGCCGUAACGUUGCAAAAUAACUGUUCGAAAAUAUAAUUCACUUGCGCAACAAUAGUUUGAAUAAUAUUUCGUAUGGCGUUAUGUAUCUUCAUAUUUGAAUAUGAUCAAUCAAUUGAUAUUGUAUCCAGGAAAUCAAUGAGUUGAUAAUACAAGUAGCAAAAGGAGCAGAAAAUAUAAUCGAUUGAUUGGUGGAAUUGAUUUGGAGAAAUAAAACGAGAUCUCACUUACUUUAACUAAUAAAAGUAUAUUUUUUUUACAGUACUUGUUGGAUUUUUAUAGAGACUUUUAAACGUAAAGCAAAUCGAGGGAUUUAGCUCUGUCAGCUGGUUGGUUCAGCCCCUCCGAUAGAAAUAACGUUUUUAGAGGAGCGUUAAAACCGACGACGGAGCAAUGGCUGUGUGCAUAAAAAUCGUUUGGUUAUUGUUGCAGGCGGCAGUUGCGGCUAUAGCAAUGACAGGGGUCAGAGCAACAGCGUUGGCUUCAGCAUCGUCAUCGAUGACGGCGAUGAGAGCUGUUGUAGUUGUAAACGGUUUAUGGGAUUUACGCGCAAUUUACUGGCAACUUUCAUUGCUCUGCACUGGGCACGACAUUUUAGUGUUAUUUUGGGUUUCAAACACGCCCAGUUUGCUUGCAAAUACUAAGCCUCAGACAAAUUUCUGUCGGUGUACUUUUUGUUGCGAAACAGGAUAAAUGGUCUGAGGCUCAUGGGGACACAUAUAAAACAAUAUGCGCUCCAAUCUAAGCUGGGCCCGUUAAAUGAUUUGCGUCUGUGUUUACCCCUUAUCCGUGGACCAGACCCGAUUACGUUAUUUUUUGUAAAAAUUACUAUGGGUGGUAGAUAAAUAAGAAGAUUAAGGAAUUGUAAAGCGCAGAAUACCUGCAGAGAGAAUAAAAACAAGACAGGGCAACAAAAAAAAAACAAAUUUCAAGCAGAUUUUUGAUUAAGUCGUAAAAAUUGGUUACUGAAAAUGUAAAUAAAAAUUUACUCAAUUGAAUGAACAACCAAGCUGUCAAUGGUCUAAACGGGAUUUCCUCCCAGACUUAUUGUUAGCAACAUUGUUGCAGCAACAAGAAGUCGAAGUACAGCCAAGCAAAGCUGUCUACGUGCAAUUUGCAGCAGCAACAUCCCACACCAGACUUGAGGCAAAUGCACAAGUUCGAAUGGCUCAAAGCAUGUGCCUGUACCCCCUUAUUUAUGUGUGUUUUUCCGCUGCAGCCGCAUAAUUCUGAUAGCCAAGUCGCCUUGAUGUAGCACAGAGGAGUUGGCAGGGGAAGAAGUAGCAGUUAGUCGAAUGGCUCAGGCAUGAAACAGGCCAUGAAUCUCAAUCUCGGAAGCGUUUCGCAGAGCCGGCCAACGACCAACCUACAGGAGAAGCAGUCAAGUAAGGCAGCUCCCUGCGAAGUUGACUUGGCAAUUCAAGUGCGCCAAGGUAGCGGACGAGGAUCGCACUAGAAACACAUUGGAGUAUUGGUACAGUAAUGGUCGAAAUGUUACAUACCCUUCUUGAGUUACUUAAACUUACACAGUUAUGUUAUAACUUACAUGUUGCUAAAUAAAAAUUAAGUAUACUGCUUUUUUAAAACUCGGCUUCAAGCUUAAGUCGUGCAACACGCCAACUGCAAGCCCUUGUUUCCAAGGUAUAAACCGAAACAACCAACAGCUCUUGGGACCGCAGACGACAUUCAGGUGCAAGUCGAAUGUUUUUGGAGAGAAAUAUGCGGUAACAGCAUUUACUAUCCCCAGUCCCACCCCAAGACCAACUUUAAGUUGCACCUUCGGUCCGCAAAGGAAGCCAAGCGAAUCUGGCGACUUACCAGCAGAAUAGAAGAAUGAAAGACCGAAGGAACGAGAUAUUGCCCAGUGCAGAUAAAGCGCAUGAAGUUUCAACGCAGCCGCAAUUAUAUUUGGACCGCAAAUGAAACAAGUUUGGCAACUUUGGCAACGACAGGCAUUUUGCACCGCUGCGGCGAAGAAACGGUGGAAUCACGAGGCGAAAUCAGAGAGAGCCGCAUGAAAGAGGAAGGGAGUUACCAUUGCAUCAGCCACCACAACAGCUACAUCAUCAUCAUGACCGUGAACAGCAGAGUCUGAGGAUUUAAGCAGACUGCAUAUCUGAGAUUCCAGUACCUGUAUGUGAGCGUGGCGAAAAGUCUGGAAAACAUUUUGCAAUUGCAUCAAUUGAAGCAGGGCAGCCAGGCCGUCCAUUAGUCCGAGUGCUUUGGCUAUUAUCGCCAGCCAGAGUGACGCUAAUGGCGCGCAGAGAGCUCGUUAUGAUUUGCGAACGAGUCCUGGUCCAAGAGGCAAGGCAAAAAGUCCUGCCCUGGCCGCUUAAUGAAGCAUAAUCUCAUUGUAACCACUUACAACCAAUAAGGACAACAACAAGCCAAGUUCGCUAAGCGGAUUGGGUCGAGAAUCAGCCCGCCAAGCUUAAGGAGGCCAAAAGGAAUCCAGGCGUGGGCGACAACUACUUGGCAUAUCCUGGCACACUGACUGACUGAAUGACCACUCACCCAAUAUAGCGCCACCCACAUCGAGUGGGACUUUUUAUGUUUAUUUACCUCUCCACUUGUGCCGUUUUUUCCUGAGUCCUUACUCACGGGUAUUGAUGUCGCCCGAGCUUUUCAUUAGCGUGAUUUCGGAAGAAAGCAUUAUGUUUGCCACUUGACAGAAGUAUUUCAUUUCAUUUUUCCACUCCCCAAUUUCCUUAUUUUUUCUACAGUCCUCAAAAGAAGACUUGUUACAUGCCUAAUUUAAGACAAGUGUGAGCUUCAGGCUGAAUGAAUAGCACUGAAAGCUGCCUAAGCAGAUUUGGAUUAAUCACUGAAGAGUGCUUCAAAAAGAUGACACUGAUACCAAAAUACACAUCAAACGAAUUUUUAUUCUAUUGUUACGAUUAUUUUAACAUCAAUAGGUGUAACAAAAUCCCACAAAAUGUAGACAACCCAUAGUAGCUUUAGAAUACUAUUUAAGGUUAACUUAAUGACGAUAGCGAUCAAAACUAAAGAUUUAAGAAAGGUUUGUAGGUGAAAAGGUGAAAUAGUAAAAAAAAACGCUUAGAAUAUAAAUUUGAAUAUAAUAGUUUUUGGCCAAAAUUAAAUGGAAUUUUCCCUAGAAAUGUGACGAACAAGUUGAGGCCAAGGGGAGUGCACAAAUAAAUGUCCUUUAUCCCUUUAGCAAUAUUUAGUAAACAUGAUAUAAAUAUUACAAUUAUCUUAAGGUAAACUACCUACAAUCUAAAUAUAUUCAGAUUACCCCCAUCAUUGAGUACAAAAGCCGGUAUGCAGUCAAAAGUCGUUAUGAGAAAUAAUUUGGUAACUGAAAUCAAGAAGGUGCAGCAGAUAGACAGUGCCAAGGAGCGGAGCUAACAAUGGAAAAUACAAUAAGGAGCUGGAUAUCCGUAGCCGAGUUUACCUUUGCCGACCUUCGCGUAGCAUCUAAAAAAGAGUGCCGUUGGGGCGAAGGGGUAGCCCUGAUUGGAUGGAAUUAUAUGGCCAAGACCAUGGCUGCAUUCUUUUGGUUUCACUUUUUAAACUCUGAUUUAUUGUGCUUACGAUUCUGAGUGUACAGUCAGUGCAUUUAAGCUUUAGUUUAAAUGAAACUAACGGCUAAUGAGCUGCAAUGUUCAGAAAAACUUUUCCAAAGAAUGAAUUUAUAUGAAGGAAAUGGCUACAAACGCUGUGCCCUGGCUUUAAGCCGGUUACACAGUUACAACUGGAGUAUAUGAAGCCAGUCCAACAGACAAUGAAAAUAAAGGCCAAGCCAGGAUUUUGGUUUCCAGCCAGCAGUUUUCAGUCGUUCGAAGUCGGCAAAUAGAUAAGCAACCUCCAUUCUCACGGAAUCGGAAAAAAGCUUGUCAAAAGGCGAAUUGAGAAAAGGCUAGCGAAGGUUCGUCUCUGCCAACUCUUUAGAUUGAGGAAAGGAAAAUAAAAGUAGAGAAGAUGUCUAAAGCCAGUUUGGCAACUGCCACUGCAAUAAUUUUCUUACUCGUUUUUCUGCAAUUUUUUGUGUGUUUAUUUCGUCGAUAGCGCGUCAUUUAAGGGCUUCAAGGCCAAGGUUUAACGAGCCAGACGAAGACAAAAACAGAAAGAAAAAAGAAACAGAAACUGAUCGCAAUCGAGCCAAAAGACAAGUGCGGGGCGGAGAAAUGUGGCUGGUUUGCUCAGGCACGGAGCCAAGUUCCAAGCUCCGAGCUUCAUGGGACACAAGCACUUGGCACACAAACAGAGAAGCAACAGGAAGAAGUGGCAUGCCGCACGAUUCCAUGCAUAAUAAAUGCGCAACUGGUGUGCGAGGAAACCGGUUUUAGGAAACUCGCACCGAAUUGGGAAUACCACCCAACUGUUAUACUUGAGAGGGGACGGCUUAGCCGACAGGAAGCUCGAAGGGGAAAAGAUCCAACGUAUGCCAACAGUCUGCGAAAAGGACGUAGGGGAGAGACUGUUAAGUCCAUAAAGCUUUUGGCUGUUGAUUAACAGCCGUAGAAGAGUGGCAUCGUCAGAUGACCAACUUCCGGCGGCAAAUCAGCGCAGCAGACGGCACAGCAAGAACUGAUGCGCAAUUUUACUUUUUAUGCGUGCGGAAAAUACUUAAAUUUUUAAUAUUUAACCCGUUAUAAACUUGUUCUAAAAGUUCAAAAUAGUUUUGAAUAAUAAUUUAUAAAUUUGAAAAAUGAGUGUUUUAAAUAUUUUCGCUCAGUGAGAAGAUUCGCUGGCUGACUGGACAUUUAAAUGACCUCGCA